rnacentral:lncRNA from 1 species
CCUGAUACAGUCGAUCGUCGGAAGCUCUGGGCUAGUACUCAAUCUAAAACCAAGCUAGUCACUGUCUCAAUCUCAAGGAUACUCAGAAAGUAAGGAAAUAUGCCCCAGUAUGAGGCCUGAUGUCAAAGUCAUAAGCUAAACAAUCGUCACCAAUCAUCUAUCCCCAUAUCACUGCCCAAAUAAAUCUCGUAAUGGAGAGGGGAAUAUGCCCCAGUAUGAUAUCUGAUGUCGAAGUCGUGAGGCAAACAAACUAACAACGAUCAUCCAUCCUCGUACCGCUGUCCAAACACAAUCUCAUCAAGGAGAGGGGAAUAUGCCCCAG